AAAUAAUGAUGGGAAAAAAGUACCAACUGAUGAUGUGAUAUUCCACAAUCAGUACUGGGCAAGCAACAUGGGGAGGAGGUGACUGAAGAAGAAUCGUUCUAAGGCCGGAGAUGAAUGAAUUGCUUAAAAUAUUUGGAUCAUAUUGCUUACACAUUUAUCAGAUCAUGCUUUCUAGCUAUUCUUUUAAAAUCUUGAGGAUUUUUUAGUUGAACUGCAAUUUUGGCAUGAAUCGCUCAGGCAUGUGGUGGGGACGUAAAAGAAGACAACAAUUAAGUUCAUGGAUAAUUUUCCAAUAUAUGCCUGGCUCGUUAGUUUGUGCAGCAUAUGAAAGGUGGUAAUGUUACUAUUGUACCAUAUACUUAGUUGUAAAAAGUAAUUGAAAAGCAAAAGUAUGGUAGUUGCCAUUGUACUUGAAUUUUGAAAUCUGGCUGGGUUUCGAUAAAUGAAAAUUUUGGAAUAGUUUAACAUUACUAAA